rnacentral:lncRNA from 1 species
CAACUCGGAUUGCCGAAGGAAAUGCAUCAUGUAAGGCUUUUGAGCUGGAUAUUAUUCUGGAAGUCACUCCCUCAAUUUAAUGAGGUUGAGAUUCAAUAAAAAUCCUUGAUCACGGAGUUUAAAUCAUCGGCUCUAAAGAGUCAUUUAAAUACAGAGGGACAGAUAUCGCAUGCAAAAGCAAUGUUGUAAAGCCCGUGCAGCAAGGUGGUUUUCAGGGAUCUAACUCAAAAGUAUAUCAAUAGGCAUAGACAAGUGACGAUCUAGAGGAAGUAAGCACAGGACCAGUUUCUAUCUGGCAGUUUCCCUACUUUACAAGUCACUCACAUGGCAUGCUUUGCAAGACAUGCAGUUGUGGGGUUAAGAGUUAAACUUCAAUCCCAUCAAGUAUACAAGUCCUGGUCUGGUUAUUGAUUGAUAAACCAACUUGAGUCAACGUGCAAGAUUAGUGCUUGAAUUUUCUCAUAGAAACAACCAUGGCCCUGAAAUGACAUCAGUUGCCAGAAUAGGUAUUAGGUUUUUUUUAUUCUUCCAAAUAUGAAAUACCAUCUAUUUUAUACUAAAAAUAAGUACCUUCAGAGUUUUCUCAACUGAGACUCUUGGAACAGUUCAAUACAAAGCGCCUCUAGCAUUUACAUGAAAUGAUAGCUGAGACCACAUGCAUUGACCAAAAACCAACUUAUAGAGUUGUUAUUUGAGAAAGCUAAAGAUGCUAUCAUCUUGUAAAGAAGGGAUUGAGUGGGCUGAAAUACAUCCAAGUUUUUUUCUUCCAAGAAUGAAUGUGCUUACAAAGUAUGAAAACAGUGACAUGCCUGCACAAAAUGGAACAAUACACGGUGCAAACAUAAGUGCAUGAAUAUGAAUAAGUCAACUCCACCCCUUUGAAUCAUCAAGCAUUAGUUACUCCUUUACCUCAACUAUUGUUCUUUCUAAAUAGUAACUAAGGGUAUUUUGGGUAUAAUAGGGAGUUUCUGUCAAAUCUUCAAACUUUUGGGUGGUUCGUGUAAUUUCAUGAUACCUAGGUGGGUUAUUGUAAUUUACCCGUAUUAGAAUACUGUUCCAUCUGAAGCUUCCAUGCCAGCUCUGGAAUAGGUAAAGCACAAAUCUUAGCAAUCUCCACAAAAGGAAGCCGAGCUGUCAGAACUCUGAUGGCUUAUCAUUAUGACAGUACCAAAUGAACCAAGUCACCACCACAUUACACUAACAGCAGUGCCUCAUGAGAGUCUGCCAUACCUUAAUCUGACUAUCCACAAUCAGAACUCAGAAAAACAGCUGUUCACACAAAGCACACCUUCAAAAACACAUUUUAAGUUUUAUCCCUCUCUUUUCAAGCAACCCCCCACCUUUCAAGCUCCUGAAAAUAAUCAAGUUCACCUCAAAAUUUAGCAUUUGAAAGUGGCUCAUAAUACAGUUCCACUGCCCUUUACUCGGCGGAUAAUCAAGAGAGAGACCUCAAGCUACUUCCAAUCCUCAAGUCCCAGCAAACUUCAGGCUCCCCUAGUGCUCGUUCCUCCUACCCCAUUGAGAAAAGAAAAGGAAGAAAAAAGGAAGAAGCAAAAGAAUCACCAAAACUUAAGAGGCAAUUGCUGCACUGUCUCAACAUGUCAUUUGCACAAUGAUAUCCAUCAGGGUGGCAGGGAUGCAGAAUAUAACACAAAUCCCAAAUUCCUUAUUUACAACCAUAUUGAAAUAAAUGUGGAAAACGCCCUACCAACUUCAUUUGGUUGUUUUGUAUUAUAAGUGCUCCAGUCAUGUUACAAGGAGUAACUAGCACGGAUACAGAUCUAGAGAACAUGAUUUACGAGAAACACCCUGUAGGCCAUAAGUGCUUCAGUCAUUUAUAGGUUGGAAAAUAAUUUCACUCCUGCCAAAUCUAAAAGCACUUCAACAUUUAUGCCACCUAGAAUUUUCCACAUGUUGUCCAUGAAAAUGUCUGAUAGCUAAGAACAAAAUGGUAGGGAUAUUAUCAAGGUUCAACAUGUAAUCAAACCAACCGAGCAGCUAAUAGUGUGAGCAUUGCAAAAAACAAGAAUGGAUAACAAACUAAAACUUUGCAAGUCAAAACCACACUGCAUUUUAUAAGAACAGAUAACAAACUGAAGCUUUGCAAUUCAAAAUCAUACUGUAUUUUAUGUACCAUUGUCAUAUGAUAACAUCUUAUUGAUUUAUUAAAUCAAAAUUGUUACAAAUACACAGAAAAAACAAGAAAUAAACAUGAAC